AACGAACGCUGGCGGCAUGCCUAACACAUGCAAGUCGAACGGGAUCCUAGCUUGCUAGGUGAGAGUGGCGGACGGGUGAGUAACACGUGGGAAUCUGCCUUUUGGUUCGGGAUAACCGCGGGAAACUGCGGCUAAUACCGAAUGCCCUCGAGAGAGGAAAGAUUUAUCGCCAGAAGAGGAGCCCGCGUCCGAUUAGGUAGUUGGUGGGGUAAAAGCCUACCAAGCCGACGAUCGGUAGCUGGUCUGAGAGGAUGAUCAGCCACACUGGGACUGAGAUACGGCCCAGACUCCUACGGGAGCAGCAGUGGGGAAUAUUGGACAAUGGGG
rnacentral:rRNA from 1 species